AAUUCCUCCCUCUGACCGAGCUCUGGUUACUGCUGCAUUUCUCUGAUCUGAAGACACUGUGGGAAUCAGCGCAGUAGCUAUAUGUUGUGCUUCUGGCAUUUGAGAGAGGCCUGGUCUCAAGUGACCGACUGAAACUGUUUCACCGGAAGUUCGGAGAUGGAAAAACUGCAGCUGGUUCACAGCUCCCCCGUUUCCAGCCCUUGCCCUGACUGACUCCCUGGAUCGUUUCUGGCAGCUGCCUCUAGGUUCCUGGCCCAGCAGUGGAGGAAGCUGGCAUGCUGGCGCACUGUGUGAUCAUUUCACGUACUCAGGAAUCGCUGACAGCAGACUUAACCACUGGUGAUCGUUCAUCAGAAGAGUUCAAUGCAGGAAAUGGUGGUAGCAAAGUGGAGGGGAUGCCACCUAGUUCUUGUAUUCUGGGAUGUGGUGAGUAACAGAGUAACUUUGUCUGUGCUCUUCAUGAUUGGACUCUACCGUUUCCUGUGACUGGAUGAAGUUCGGUGGCUCUGCAUGAGUGAUACCUAUCCAAUAUGCUUAUUCUAAGCUUCCACUGCAGGUAACUUAAUUGUUAAUAAUUUGUUAUCAAUAUUAUUUUCCCUAGUUAACUUUUAAUAGAACUUGGCCUUGGGAAGACUUAAUUUAAACUAGGUUGUCAAGACAAUCUCCAUGAACGAGUACUUGGGAAGACAAUACAAUGUGAGGGAAAGCAAGCCAAUAACUGCAAAAACAGAGGGACUGUAAAACCUAGAUUUUUAAAUUGAAAAACUAGGCUUUAAUAUAUAUGAUUAGAUGUACUCCUCUACUAUAAUCUAUAUAUCAUUCUGACUGCUCUUUUUUUUCUUUUCUUUUAUUUGAUUACAAUUAACUAGCUGUUAAGGCAGACUUAACAACCCUUAAAACACUCAUUUCUCAGGUGUCAUCCACUUCAGAACUGCACAGUGUUCUAAGGGUUUGGGAGAUCGAUCCGCUGGAAUUAUUUGCAGGGAGAGUUAGAAGGGUUCCUGGAAAAUGAAGUGGACUGUGUCUUCUGUCUGACAGCAGGGGGGAAUGAAAGCUCAGCAGUUGCAAAGUGGGAGGCAUAUGAAAAAUGUUUGCUUUCUGUUCCUCUGUAUAAUUUACAAAGAACGAGUGGUGCUCUGAGUGGUACUAAAACCCUAUCAGCUAAAAAAAUUAUUAGACUGAAAUUCCAGCCCCUAAUGCUAUGGUAAUCAGAUAGUAUAUCACAUAUGGUAUGUAAACAUCAAGCCCAUUUUGAAAGACCUUACAAAGGUCUAAGUACAACAUGACUGCCAACUGUUUACCAAGCACUGAAGCAGACAUAGGAAUGGAGUCCCUCUCUGCAACCCAGCAGCUGAACUUCCAGUGCAUGUAAGACCUAAAAGUUACUACAGAGCAGGCAUGUCUACACAUGUAGUUAUGCACACCUAAGCUUAAUGUGCCUUUGUUUAAGGUGCAUUUAGGCAAUUUAGGUAAACAUCUACACAUAGACAUGCUAAUGCGCAUUAAGGCACUUUGAAUUUAAGCUGGCAUAGCUAAAUCACAUCCAUUGACACACACCACGUUAAUAUUAAGCAUCAACAUAUGGACUAAUGUGACUUAGCUAUGCCAGUUUAAAUUUGGUACUUGCUAUAAGCAGGUAUCAAAUUUAGGUGGGAUUAGCCUAAAAUCACCAUUUUUAAGGUGCAUUCAUGGCACACGUGUGGACAUGCGCUCUUAAUGCAACUUAAAAAUAUCGGUUUUAGGCUAAUCCUGCUUAAAAGGGCCACAUGUAGACAAGCCCAGCAAGGGCUAGCACUGAGACUAUAUACAGUAAAUUGUAUCAGGUGAGCCAUAUUGGAACACACCUACAGGUGGUGAUAUAAUCCACUGUCUUGGAAGUUAUUCUUUACAUGGACACCACAUCUAACUUUGUUCCCAUGCUGCCCAAGAAUUGUAGCAUCUCAGGUUUUCCUUUGAUGUGCCUGGACAGCAUAAGAUCUUGUAUAUUAAAUGGACUGCAUAUAAAAUGCAAGAAUAUCAAAAAAACAUAGGGCAGAGUGAAAGGUGCAGCAGCAAACUAAAUAUUGUACAUCUCUUGAGUCUGGUUGGUUGUUUAGACUGUAUGUCAGCUUGGAUAUUCCUGCUACAUAACAUUUAAUUCUAUACUUGGCAUCUACAACUCACAAAAACAAGCAAAAAAACCCCACUUGGAUAAACAUUUAUUUUUUAUAUUAAAGCACAUCCUCAGUUCAGAUAAAAUUUACAGCAUUUUGAGGAGUGUUUGAGCAGAACUUACUCCUGGCAAUAUCAAUUAUUCACCAGCUCUACUCUAUUUUUAUUUUAAAUUUUAAAUGUUAUGUAGAAUUAUUUACUCGUGAAUGGAUAGCCUUUAUGUGUUUGUUUCCCCUAAUGUAUGAUGUAUAAAAAAGUAGUAGUCAAACCACUGAAAAUAACUACCUGUAGGUUAUCUCUCACUGGCCUAGAGCCUUCUUGGUUUAGUUCACACCAGGCUACGGUCACCUUAUUUGGAAGUUAUCUUAUAGUUGAUGCCAUGUGACAGUGAUCCUAGAAAGAAUGAUCAGUCUGAAACCUUGAGAGGUUUUUUAUUUGUCACCAAAAUAUCCCAAAAUCAAUUUCCUCCUUUUUCAUGUGUAUGCUGUACUGUUUGGGUGAAUUUGAGGGGGUUCUUACUAAAUGACAGCUGUCUAGAUUCAAGGUUAGUGCCACACAAGUGGUGUGCUGCUACUCUUCUCUACUACUGCACGGAACGCUGAUCUCCACUGCAGCCCUGUUCUAGUUGUGCUCUAUUUACCUUGAUUUUGCCAAUGCAGUAGAGUCUUAAUUACUGCCUCAUUUCUGUUUCAGUCCUAAAAUCCCUAAACUACUUUGCCAGGGUUCCAUAAUGCUGACUUGUAACAAUUCUUGCUAUUGCAGUCCUAGUAUCCUCCACACAGAUCUGCUAUGGCCCCUUAAUUCUGACCCACAGCAGCUCUUCAUUCUUCAGGUAUAACAAGUGCUUAAAACUAGUUUUAGGUGUCAGUGUUAAUAUGUAGGCAAUCCAGGGGUUAAGAGCUCCAGGAACUGCCCAAAAUUACCCUGCAACAAGGCCCUGGGACUCCUAUGCACUUUUACCAAAUCACUUUAACUUUGAUCAUUCAUACGCUCUGUUUUUUCAGUUUUGAGUAAAGACUGUCAAUCAAACCAAGCUUUGUUAAAAACUAUGAAACUUAUCUGGACAGGAGAUAUAAUUACUGGGAAAUAGGUUAAAAUACCUCACCAUUUGAGAACUAAUUUUAUUUGAAGUAGUACUAGAAAAGUACUGGAACGAAUGCAUCACUUUGCUCCUUCAUGAUUUGCCUCAUCACCCUUUUCUUUCCUAAGUUCUUCAUCUUUCCUUAUGGUAUAUUUUUCACAUUGUUUUGAUAAUGCAAAGUCCCACCUGUACUGAUGUCUAAAGCUUUUGGUACAUAUGUAUUUAGCGUUUAAGGCUGAGAUCUUUACCUUGAGCAUUUUCUGAAUCAGGAGGCUCUGAUAUGGGCUCAGAGGCAGACAUUGUUGGUGAAUAGUCCUUGGUGGUAGCAUCCUUAGGAACGAGCACUGCA